CUGUAGUUCAGUCGGUAGAACGGCGGACUGUUAAUCCGUAUGUCACUGGUUCGAGUCCAG
rnacentral:tRNA from 2 species